CGUGAAACCGUUCAGGGGUAAACGGGAGAAAUCCUGAAUUCGAGAGGGGUUGGAUUCAUGUUCUACCUGUCCUUCAGGCUGUCCCCACCAGAUGUAGCUGGCUGCCCGUCGUGAUUAACUUCGCGUGCGGUUGCUUGUCUGGCGGUCACUCGGUGGUGUGGCGUGCAUCUCUGGAGCAGGAGGAUUGCAUUUCCCCCCCAGUAGAAACGUCGCGACCCGUUGGGUGCUGGUCUCAAGGCCCGGGUUGGCAGACCGUGCGUCCUGCGGGGGUUUCCCGCAGGCGUACGGACACCUGGUGUCCCGGCCAGCUGCCCGACGGUAUGAUCAGAGGAGACGAUCCGCUGUAAAUGGGAAACACUGUGUGUGUGAAGCGUCCAGCCCAGUGCAGAUGUCAACGGUACGUGGUACGAUCUUGACCGGUUGCUAUGCACAGGUUUCGUAUACGACCACGAUCACUGUUGAGUCUCUGUCACUGUUGCCUCGGACCGGAUCGUUCUCCCGUCUGCGACGCCCACCUUCGGAUGGUCUCCCGACCCGUCUUGAAACACGGACCAAGGAGUCUAACAUGUGCGCAAGUCAUUGGGUGUUACUAAACCUAAAGGCGUAAUGAAAGUGAAGGCCACCUGGGUUCGGUGGCUGAGGGAAGAUGGAACCUGGUUGUGGUAUCCUUUACUGGUUCCCGAUCAUGGGCCCGCAUUCCCGGGGCGUCUCGUCCUCAUUGCGAGGUGAGGCGCACCUAGAGCGUACACGUUGGGACCCGAAAGAUGGUGAACUAUGCCUGGCCAGGAUGAAGUCAGGGGAAACCCUGAUGGAGGUCCGAAGCGAUUCUGACGUGCAAAUCGAUCGUCGGAGCUGGGUAUAGGGGCGAAAGACUAAUCCUUUAAAUGGGUGAGAACCCAGACUUGCUUGGGUCUGAAGUCUGGGACGGAUCUGUGGUGACAAGUGGGCCACUUUUGGUAAGCAGAACUGGCGCUGUGGGAUGAACCAAACGCCGAGUUAAGGCGCCUAAAUCGACGCUCAUGGGAUACCAUGAAAGGCGUUGGUUGCUUAAGACAGCAGGACGGUGGCCAUGGAAGUCGGAAUCCGCUAAGGAGUGUGUAACAACUCACCUGCCGAAGCAACUAGCCCUGAAAAUGGAUGGCGCUCAAGCGUCGUGCCUAUACUCGGCCGUCAGCGGCACUGGGAGCGGGCUGGGCUCUUGAGUGCAGGCCCUCGAAAAAGCCCUGAUGAGUAGGAGGGUCGCGGCGGUGAGCGCAGAAGGGCAGUGGCGUGAGCCUGCCUGGAGCCGCCGUUGGUGCAGAUCUUGGUGGUAGUAGCAAAUACUCGAGAGAGAACCUGGAGAACUGAUGCGGGGCAGGGUUUCGUGUCAACCGCAGUUGAACACGAGUUAGUCGAUCCUAAGCCCUAUGUGGAAGUUGAUGCCGAUGGGGGGUCGAUUAGCAACCGACCACAACCCCCGGCGGGCGAAAGGGAAUCCGGUAAAGAUUCCGAAACCUGAGUACGGUACCGUUCCGGGCCCUCGCGAGUUCGUCGGGGUAACCCGAAUUAACCCGGAGAAGCUGUCGGGAGGUUCGGAGAGAGUUCUCUCUUCUCUAUGAGCGUUCGGGUUCCCUGGAAUCCUCUAGCAGGGAGAUAGGGAAUGGGACGCGAAGAGCACCGCAGUUGCGGCGGUGUCCGGAUUUUCCCCACGGACCUUGAAAAUCCAGGAGAGGGCCACGAGGAACUUUCGUACCAGAUCGUACCGAUUUCC
rnacentral:rRNA from 1 species